rnacentral:snRNA from 1 species
CCACUUAAGUAGAAGAUUGUGCACAUCUUAGCCGACCCUGAAUCACUAAUAUGAGAGGCUCAGCCGUUGCACUCUGGCUGUGCUGACCCCUGCGAUUUCUGCAAAUGCGGGGAAACUUGACUGCAUAAUUUGUGGUAGUGGGGGACUGUGUGUGCACUUUCCCCUG